GAUGAACGCUGGCGGCGUGCCUAAUACAUGCAAGUCGAGCGAACAGACGAGGAGCUUGCUCCUCUGACGUUAGCGGCGGACGGGGGAGUAACACGUGGAUAACCUACCUAUAAGACUGGGAUAACUUCGGGAAACCGGAGCUAAUACCGGAUAAUAUAUUGAACCGCAUGGUUCAAUAGUGAAAGACGGUUUUGCUGUCACUUAUAGAUGGAUCCGCGCCGCAUUAGCUAGUUGGUAAGGUAACGGCUUACCAAGGCAACGAUGCGUAGCCGACCUGAGAGGGUGAUCGGCCACCCUGGAACUGAGACACGGCCCAGACUCCUACGGGAGGCAGCAGUCGGGAAUCCUCCGCGAUGGGCGAAAGCCUGACGGAGCACCACCGCGUGAGUGAUGAAGGUCUUCCGAUCGUAAAACUCUGUUAUUAGGGAAAACCAAAUGUGUAAGUAACUAUGCACGUCUUGACGGUACCUUAUCAGAAAGCCACGGCUAACUACGUG
rnacentral:rRNA from 1 species